AUGGCGGCGACGCGAGCGUGCUUGGUCGCGCUCGUCGUGGCUCUUACGUUUCUCUUCAUGGAGGGCCGGGUGACGGCAGAGCCGACGUCUGCCGGGAGUUUAGUGCAGCGCCGGCGGGAAAUGGGAAGCCUCCUAAGGCGUCUCAAUAAGCCUCCUAUCGCUAGCAUUCAGAGCCCGGAUGGUGAUGUCAUAGACUGUGUGCACAUCUCCAAACAGCCUGCGUUCGACCAUCCUCUCCUCAAGAACCAUACUAUACAGAUGCGACCUUCUUACAACCCAAGAGGCAUGCAUCAUGACUCCAACAUCACAACCCAUGCAAUCACCCAAAUAUGGCAUCAAAAUGGCACGUGCCCUGAGAACACCAUACCAAUCCGAAGGACCAAGGAGGAGGAUCUCCUGAGGGCCAGUUCCAUUAGGAGGUUCGGCAAGAAGAUGCCUAGGAGCAUCCCACACCUCAAUCCAACCAAUGACACUGACACACCCAAUAUAUUGAGGGGCCACCAGCAUGCUGUCGCCUCUGCACAAUAUGACAAGUGCUACGGAACCAAAAGUACCUUCAAUUUGUGGAAACCAUGGAUUGCAAGGGGCAAUGACUUUAGCUUAACCCAAUUUUGGAUCACUGGGGGUUCCUACAAUGGCAACAACCUCAAUACCAUUGAAGCGGGAUGGCAGGUUUAUCCAAAUCUAUAUAGCGAUAGCAAUACAAGACUAUUCAUCUACUGGACUCGUGAUGCAUAUCAAUCAACAGGAUGUUACAACCUACUGUGCUCAGGCUUCAUCCAAACAAGCAAUCAGAUCACAAUUGGCGGCAGUAUCUCCCCAAUGUCCACCUAUGGUGGCACACAAUAUGACAUCGAUAUUUUAGUUUGGAAGGACCAAGCGGGGGGCAAUUGGUGGCUGCAAGUGGGAGGCGAUUAUGUGGGGUAUUGGCCAUCAUCCAUCUUCUCCUACUUGGCAGAUAGUGCCUCUACCAUCAUGUGGGGCGGCGAGGUAUUUUCACCUGAUGCCGGCCAAACAUCCACACAUAUGGGCAGUGGACACUUCCCAAAUGAAGGGUUCGGUAAGGCGAGUCACAUCAAGAACAUUCAAGUGGUAGAUUCGUCCAACUGUCUCAAUCCCACAAGUGAUGUGGGCUUCAUAACUGAGCAGAACAACUGUUAUAACGUGCAAAGUGACACCUAUGGCGACUGGGGCACUUACAUCUACUAUGGUGGCCCUGGCAAUAACCAUAACUGCCCAUGA
rnacentral:rRNA from 1 species